GUGUUGGACAUGUCAUCACAUGUGGAGAUCUAUACGCUGUAGCUUCUUCACAUUCAUUCUGAAGACUAGCCGUCUAUGAUAUGGACUAUGGAGAUGGAUGUUGUUGAUCUGUGUUUACAUCCUAAUGAUUGCUGACUGUGUGUGUUGCAGAUUGUUUUUGAGAACACAUUGAUGCAGCACCAUGUUGCUCUUCCACCAGGUUCUAUGAGGAAAAUAAGUUACAUUGCACCAGCUGGUCAGUACAACCUUCAGGUUAGUUUAUGUUAUGCCUUAUAGGAAGCCUUAUUGAUGUGGUGUCUUCUACCUCUGAGCUUUCGGCUGCUUCCAUUUAGUGCCUUUCGGCUGCUUCCUUUACUGUUUUAGUGGCAAGUUCAAGUGAUUGCUUUCUUUCACAGCAAAUGGGAAAGAUGAAGCCUAGUGGUAGUUUUGCCAUUCUCUGUAAUGGCAACAAUCCGAAUCUCUCAGUUUUGAUUAGUGCUCACGAAAUAUGAUGGCUUUACAGUUUUACUCAAUGAUGCCACCCUUGGGAAUCUCAACUCUUGUUUUGGUCAGUUGGCAACAGUGCUCUUCGUAACUUCCGGUUCGAACUUCAUUAUAGUUGUUUUUCAGGGUAACAGGUGCAUUUGGAAUUCAUAGAGGGACUUGAGGGUAUUAAUUGGUCACUUUCCAUUUUAUAACGAGUCAUUUAUUUACAAUCAUAUGUUCUGUGGGAUUUGCAUUUUUUUCAUGAUUUAUCUUUUCUUAUAGGUUUUAAAUAGAAGCCUACAAAAUCCGAACUGUAAGCUAGACUAUUCUGUUUAGGCAUCACAAUCAGGAUACAUAAGCAGAAUAUCUUAAAUAAUUGCAUGCCUGAUUUUCAUGGCUGGGAACUUAUGUAUUAUGACUCUGAAUCAGGCAAACGAAGGAUGUAGUAAAAGCUGUGAAGAAGCAGUUGCAGCAUAAGGAUCCAAAAGUUAAAUUCUUUACUUUGACGUUAUUGGAGACAAUGAUGAAGAACUGUGGUGAAUAUGUUCAUUUUGAAGUUGUUGAUCAGCAUGUUUUAUAAGAGAUUGUU